AGUGAACGCUGGCGGUAGGCCUAACACAUGCAAGUCGAACGGCAGCACAGUAAGAGCUUGCUCUUACAGGUGGCGAGUGGCGGACGGGUGAGGAAUACAUCGGAAUCUACUUUUUCGUGGGGGAUAACGUAGGGAAACUUACGCUAAUACCGCAUACGACCUACGGGUGAAAGCAGGGGAUCUUCGGACCUUGCGCGAUUGAAUGAGCCGAUGUCGGAUCAGCUAGUUGGCGGGGUAAAGGCCCACCAAGGCGACGAUCCGUAGCUGGUCUGAGAGGAUGAUCAGCCACACUGGAACUGAGACACGGUCCAGACUCCUACGGGAGGCAGCAGUGGGGAAUAUUGGACAAUGGGCGCAAGCCUGAUCCAGCCAUACCGCGUGGGUGAAGAAGGCCUUCGGGUUGUAAAGCCCUUUUGUUGGGAAAGAAAAGCAGCAGGUUAAUACCCCGCUGUUCUGACGGUACCCAAAGAAUAAGCACCGGCUAACUUCGUG
rnacentral:rRNA from 1 species